rnacentral:rRNA from 1 species
UACGUAGGGGGCGAGCGUUGUUCGGAAUUACUGGGCGUAAAGGGCGCGUAGGCGGCCGUGGAAGUCAGGCGUGAAAGCCCCGGGCUCAACCUGGGAAUUGCGCUUGAUACUCCGGGGCUUGAGUUCGGGAGAGGAGAGUGGAAUUCCCAGUGUAGAGGUGAAAUUCGUAGAUAUUGGGAAGAACACCGGUGGCGAAGGCGGCUCUCUGGACCGAGACUGACGCUGAGGCGCGAAAGCGUGGGGAGCGAACAGG